AAAGAUAACACUAUCCCCAAUGUUUGAAUUAUUAUCACAAAUGUUUACAUCAAUAUUUUCUAGCUUGUUGAACUUCUCAAAAUAAAAGUGGUAUCUGGUGUUCUAGAAAUAGUAAAGAUAAAAUUACACUCAGUGAUGAUUAUUUAAAAAAUGGAAAAUAAAUAUAUAAUGAUAGCAAACUGAAGACUACUGUCUCCGACACAUAAAUCACAAAAAGCAUGUAUGCUAAUAUAGAAACCAGAUUUGCAUUUAUCUUCACGUUAAAAAAUAACUUCCGCUGAUAUUUGUUUCUGUUUCAGCUGGAUUUAAACGGAUGUCUUUUUCUGUAGGCGAUGUAUGUGAGAGAACUUAAUGUUGAUUGUUUAUGUCACCUGUCGUCAAUUAGAGUUCAUAUUCCUUGGACGAUACAAUGCAUUCACAUUGCUUAUACAUGUACAUGUAUAUGACCUUUAAUUAAGAAAUCAAAAUAUCAACGGUGGAGAUCUCCCGACCUGGAUUCAAUCGGAUUAAAUGGUUCUACCCAACAGAUAUAGCUGGCACUGACUUGUUUAUAUCAUUUGCAACGUAAGGCGAAUGUUGCCAAAUGUUCUAUUCAUCAGAUCUCUGUACAUAUUGAAUGGAAUUGAACCAUUUUUUAAACUGAUAGAAAUGAAAUGAAAUGGGGUUUAACGCCCUACUGUGUUUUGCUCAGACUGGACUAAUGAAGACGGGUAUACGCUGUAUAGUGUGCUAUGAGGACAAUUUUGCCCGGACAGCGGCGCUACGACCUACUCUUAUAUCGAAGUCCAACUGCCAAGGGAUCUUUUACCUGCACGCCAAUAUGUACACGGGACCUCUGUUUUUCGUACCAUCAGAACGACUAUACCGCUAUCCUUGUCAUGUCCUCCGUCCUGCACCACUGACUAGGGGAAACCACGCCGGAAAAUCCCGAGCUAGUGUCUUACUCCCUUGGACUUUCACCAUAAAUAUUGUAGUUUGCAAAUGAUUCAACGUCCCUCAAAUGACGAUAAGCGGCUUUAAUGUGUUUACGCUCUGAUACAUGUGUAUAAUAUGUAAUUUUGAAUGAUAUCCUUUUAAUGCCAAAUAAAUAAAUUAUUUCAUUA